rnacentral:rRNA from 1 species
UACGUAGGGUGCAAGCGUUAAUCGGAAUUACUGGGCGUAAAGCGUGCGCAGGCGGCUAUGUAAGACAGAUGUGAAAUGCCCGGGCUUAACCUGGGAACUGCAUUUGUGACUGCAUGGCUAGAGUUUGGCAGAGGGGGGUAGAAUUCCACGUGUAGCAGUGAAAUGCGUAGAUAUGUGGAGGAACACCGAUGGCGAAGGCAGCCCCCUGGGUCAAGACUGACGCUCAUGCACGAAAGCGUGGGGAGCAAACAGG